rnacentral:rRNA from 1 species
UAGUGACGAGAAAUAACAAUACAGGGCAUUUCAUGUCUUGUAAUUGGAAUGACUUAAAUUCAAACCCCUUUCGGAGUAACAAUUGGAGGGCAAGUCUGGUGCCAGCAGCCGCGGUAAUUCCAGCUCCAAUAGCGUAUAUUAGAGUUGUUGCAGUUAAAAAGCUCGUAGUUGGAUUUCUGUUGGGGGCAGCUCGUCCGCCUUUUGGUGUGCAUGAGUCAUCCCUAGCAUUUUUCUGGUUCCCCUUUGCACUUUAUUGUGCUUUGGUUCUCCAGAACUUUUACUUUGAGAAAAAUAGAGUGUUUCAAGCAGGCUUUUGCCUUGAAUACUGCAGCAUGGAAUAAUAAGAUAGGACUUUGGCCCUAUUUUGUUGGUUCUAGGACUAAAGUAAUGAUUAAUAGGGACAGUUGGGGGCAUUCGUAUUUAACUGUCAGAGGUGAAAUUCUUAGAUUUGUUAAAGACGAACUACUGCGAAAGCAUUUGCCAAGGAUGUUUUCAUUAAUCAAGAACGACAGUAGGGGGUUUGAAGACGAUUAGAUACCGUCGU